rnacentral:lncRNA from 1 species
AUGGCCCUGGUUUUCCUUCAAGCUCCUCCCUCUUCAGAAGAGCUAACAAGUUGGAGGAGCUGCUGUGAGCAGUCACCCAGCAGGAAAUCUCUUCAACAAGAGUCUGCAAAGGUGGACAGCAGGGCAUGUCUUGUGGCAGAGAACAGGACUGCCCUAGAAGCAGCUUGGAGGACCGCUUUUCCCACCUCAACCCGAAACAGUUUAUUCAACUCCAGUUGCUUCUGGAGCCCAGCUGGGCGUCUCGACAUUUCUGAUUACACAGGGAUCUCUGCUUCGAGGCAUCCUUUCAAACAUCCCUGGACAGAGUUUCUAGAAUGCAAAAUGGAAUCAAUCCAGCGUUUUUUUUCAGUGAAUGAAAAACCCAAGGGGCUUUUGGGAACAUUUUAAAAGGUUUUGCCCCUUUUCUCAUAAAUGAAGUAGUGAAACCUUUGGAGGAAGAUAGUGUUUCUGAGCUCUGACAACAUAACUGGGAGCACAGCAACAUCAGCACUGGACUCCAGAGUAACUCUGUAGGAGAGCUGCUGCCAUAAAGAACUGCUAUCUGGUUUCUCAAGGCAAUUUGUAGCUCUGCCACUGGUCUCCUUGGAUUUUGCCCUUUAGGUCGAGCAGCCUUGUGAUGCUGUGUCUGCCUACAGGUCUAGGCCGGGGAGGCCUCUGAGACAUUUGCACUUCUUGUUUUAUACUUAAACCUUAUUGCAGGUGGUGAAAAGUCACUUGGAGGCCUAGAAGGAGAAAGAAGAGUUAAACACUGUUGUUCUGCAUCCCAGCUACUGCACAAACCCUGAAACUUUCUGCAGGUGCUAGGUGGGCUUAGCUGCAAUAAGAAUGUUCCCACGCCUUUUCAGAUGUCAUGGACAAAUGAAGAUCCUGGCUUUUGAGUCUACAGGGACACGCUUCGCCUUCCACUCAGGCUGUAACACCUCUGACAACUGUGUGAGCAUGGGAGGUGGAGGAGGACUACCAAAACCCACCUGCUUCAGCUUUUAAACCACUUACUCACAGCAAAGCUAAACUCGGCAUUUGUGAGAGAGCUGUGUAGGAUCAAUUUUCUAGUCCCUAGAACAUGUUCCCAGGUUUUGUACCACUCUGCUGCAGCUCUCUUUCAUCACAUAUUUUGGCUUUACAGGUCCAUCUGUAUUUUCAGACUACUUUCCACUUUCUAGAAGCUACUGUUGGGACUGCUGGGUCCUUCUGCUUCACAGAUUUGUACAUCCAAGAGCAGGAAGACCUGCUCACACUCUCUGAAACUUCACAGCUAUGAUCUGACAGUUCUCUGGGAAAGAGCCAGCUCUGAGGUGUGCCUGUCAGACACAAAAACAAGGUGUCCCAGUGAACAACUCAUGGGAACUGAAAUACAGAACUGUAGCACAGCAAGAGUCCAAGUCCAUAAAGACAGCACAGGCCACCACAACCAAGAAAGUAGCAUAAAAACGAACAAAACAAACAAACAACAACUGUAUAAAUGUAACCAGAACAUCAAUAUGGCUAUAGUAGAUAAGAUGCAAGAUCCCCUUUAAGGAUGUGACACUGAGCAUUAAUGAGAUGGACGAUGCCUGGGUGCGGGGGCAGAGGGGAGGUUAUGCACAAGGCCCAACUUUGGCUUUUUCUACCCAAACAUUGUUCAGCCCUGAUGAUUACUGCAGCCAUGAAAGCCUUCAGAGGAUGAAACCCCUAUGUCCAGAGCUGUCACUUCUCAGUGAGUUUUAAAUGUCCGUGGCAGACAUUUAUUCCCCAAGAAUCUGAAGAUUUUUCCUCUUCCUUCUCGUCUCCAUACUCCCCACCACUACCACCAAAUUCCAAACAAAAUAACAAAUCUAUUGGGGGUGGGGGGGGAGCAACAAAAUGUAUCUUCUAAUUCUGCUUCUCUGGUAAUAGUAUGUAGUGGUAAAAGUGAUGUUACAUUAAGUGUCUUGCUCAUCUGAUCUUAUUUUUCUCUUUAUUAUAUCACAUUGUCUGCUCAUCUAGUUAAUGCUGUUUGAAAUACGCCUGAUCCUGGGAGCUAAUUGUCGUAGUGACAUGAAGUUUGUGGCUCACACAGCAAAAUGUAUGAUUUCAGUAUUUGCAGGAAUAACAUAAAUCCCUGCACACAUUUCAUACUAAGGGCUGCAAAAUCUGCUUGCAGUGUUCUUAUCUCUGUGGAUUAGUGAGUUAUCAGGGAGCGUCACUAUCAUCUGAAUGGAGAUAAGGUGCAGCAAAUCCUUCCCUUCUGCUCUGUGACACACAAUAUCAGUGCCAAAUAGGAAGCCUAAGAGCACAGAUAAAUCAACAGCCCUCUGGGGACCCUAAGCUAAAUAUGAAUGCAUUAAAGCAAUAUUCAGCUCCCUGUACAAAGGCAGAACAGCAGUACCUCUAUUGCUCUGUAAGGUAGGCAUUGUACUGGGUAUUAAGCUCUUAGCUGUCAGGAAGGUGCAUGUGUAAUGCAACGUAUUAGCAUCUUACAAGAGCUGCUGUCAAGAAAAGCUGUGUGAGAACAGAUCUACACUCAGCACGGUAGACAUCUUCCACACCAUGCACUAGGUUGCUUUGGAGACUGGUGCUGGUCUUCAAAACAGAACAUACUGGCACAGAAAUGAGACAGCCCAGAUGGCUGUUAACAGCCAGGAGAAGCCAUACUGCUUGUCAGUCUUGUGCUUAGAGCCCUUUAAAGCAUGCAAAGUAUAUUAAUAAUGAAUGCAGUAACUACUGGAAAAGCUAAAAGCUGACCUGCCCUGUGGAAAGACAUUUCCAGGAGUGAAGUCUUUUGCUUUUUUCAGGCACUUCACAGACAAAGCUCAGGGCCCACUUAUGACUGCAGUUACAUUUGAAAGCCUUUGACUUAGGUUCCCUGAGAUGCAACCCAAGAUAAAUGAGCACAUAACCCUGCAACGUGCAAACGGGUGCCUGGCAGUCUGUGGGGGCCAAAAGAACUAGCAGCAGCCACCUACGAGAUGGAAGUUACUGUCAUGGGCUUGCUCUCCAGUUCUAGCCAGGCCCUCAUUGCUGGAUCUGUGCUAUCCCCAAUUCAGUCUCCUAAUUUCCUUUCUUCAGCUGUUAACUACGUCUCCUGAUAAUAAAACUCUUCUCAUCUGAAACUAAAGAAGAACU